UGGCACAAGUCACCAUCCCUCAUUCUUGGUAUGUUGAACGAUUUUCAGCUGAAUCCUGGACAUUUUUGUAUCAUAUUCUGAGACUCUGGUUAUAGUUGGACCCUCGGUUUUAGCUGGGCUUUUGGACACCGCUCAUUAAUGUCGGGUGGAAGUAAACUGAAUUCUUACGCAUGAGACAGAGGCUGACCACGGAUGUGCAGGGCAAAGGGGCCACCUGAUGUGGGAGAUGGCUGAGGUCUACAAAAGGCAGUUACGUAAGUGAGAUGCUGCCACCUCCAAGGCCCCACAGUCCUCAAGCAACGUCGAAGAACACGACUCAGGUCAAGUGGGAACGUGUGUUGAUCAGAUAAGCAAGGCGGGUGAGGAGCACCCAUGGGUGGUGGAUUUGUGAGCAGAGAUCACCCCAGUGCUUGGAUGCAUGCCAACAUACUUUGCUCAAUUUCUGCCUUCUAAAUCUGGAUGCUGCCCUCUUUCUGUGGCUACUGACUUGCCCCCUGAAAGGAAGGAUGUGCUGAGAGUAGACACUUGGUGGGGUGUCUUUCUAGCUCCUUUUCUAGAACAGGCACCUUUCUUGGAAUCUCACUUGGGCACCCCACCAUCCAUAUAUUCUCUGCCCCUCCCCACCUGCCAUGGGAGAAGGAGCCAGGAUGGACAUCUGGACAUCACUGUGUUGAUCUUGUUAUCUCUGGGGUAUUCUCUUAACCAGAAGAACUGAAAUGGGCCAUGCUAGAGGGGUGGCCAUUUCCACCUGACACGUGUCCCAAGAAGCAGAGAACAGACCAUGGAGAACAGCAGGUAGCUCUGUGCUUGGGUGCAAGAGAUGCCCCUGUGUCCUUAGAUAGAAGCCACCAUCCACCCCAUGCAAGCCAGGCUGAGAAGCCUUCUCUAUUUGCCGUCCUCAAGUGUGAGUUAUUUCCUGGAGCCACCGUUAGCAUCUCUACCUUGUUAAAAUGACUGAUAAUCCAAACUCUGGGUGUGUGGCCAGGGGAAUUGUGUCAGGAAUCUAUUACAGGCUGUCCCCAAACUCAGCUGAGGUCUACAAAACAGUGGUAGACAUAUGUUAUCUCACACAAUUUCUGUGGAUCUGGAGUCCGGGAGCAGCUUAGCUGGGUGGCUCUGGCUCAGCGUCUCUUGUGAGGCUGCAGCACAGUGGUCGCUGGGGCUUCAUCAUCUGAAGCCUCGACUGGGGCCAGUGGAGCUGCUUCUAGGCUCACUCACCGGUUGCUGAGAUGCUUCAGGUCCUCCCUGGCUGUUGGUCAGAGGCUUCAGUUCCUUAGGAUAUUUCUACAGGACUAUAGUUUGCUUCCCUCAGAGAGAAGAAGGGAGGGGCAGAGAGAGAGGGAGGGAGAGAGGAUGUGAGAUGCGUGGGGCUGGCUACUUAAUGGAGAAGAGAGUGGGGACGAGCAUUCUGGAGAGCUCCGAGAAAGCCCGUAGAGUUCCGGAAUGUUGCUCAGGGUCCAGGGAUGAGAGAUGCAGCUGAUGGAGAAGGUGGGGGACCACUGGCCUUCAGCUGGUGCAGAGGGAGCGGGGGAGGGUGAGAUCCUGGGGGUUACAGUCGGGAGCCUGGGGGUUUACCCAGGGGAAUGAUGUCUUCUCACAACUCCAGCUUCAGUGAGCAGAGAACGGAGCGGUGGGCGGCGGGAGGGGGAGCUAGAUGUGGGCAGAGAGACACGCUGUGGUUACUUCCUCUUCUCAGAUGAGGAAGCUGAUGCUGGAGAAGCAGAGCAGCUAGUAAGAGGUCACAGGGCUGGGAGGUGUGUAGAUGGGCUUCGAGCACAGGCCGUCUGCCUGGAGCACAUGCCUUCACCGGAUGACUCUGACCGUCUGGGGGGCAUUGAAUUGUGUCCCCACAAGAUCCGUCCAGUUCCUGGUACCUGCCAAUGUAUCCUUAUUUGGAAAAGAUACCUUUGCAGACUUAACCGAGUUCAGGACCUUGAGAUGAGAUCAGAGCGGAUAAAGGGUGGGCUCUCUAGCCAAAGACAGGUGUCCCUGUGAGAUAAAGGAGAAGGAGGUUUGAGACACAGACACACUGGGGGCAGAAGGCCAAGUGAGAAAGAAGGCAGAAAUUGGAGUGAAGCAUCCACAAGCUAAGGAUGCCAGCACUGCCAGCAGCCUCCAGAAGCUGGGAGACAGGUGUGAGCAGGCUCCAGAGGGAGCAAGACCCUGCCGACACCUUGAUUUAGGGCUUCGGUUUCCAGAACUGGGAGAGAAUGGACUCCUGUGUCCUAAAGCCCUGUCAUCUGUGGCUGUUCGUUACAGUAGCUCUAGGACCUUAAUACAGCCUUCCCUGCCCCUUCCAGGGACAGCCUGAGCUCCCCACAUUUCCAGACACUCACCUGACCUGGGAAGACAGCCAGACCUGAGGGGGAGGGGGCAGAGACCCCUUCUCCUGCUGCCUGUUCUCCCCAGGAAACUUCCACGAUGCCCCCUGCUUCUCCAGAGCCUGACCUGAGCUCCAAACAGCUCCAAACUGAGAGAGGGAGAGAGAGGGAGAGAGAGAGAGAGCGAGAGUGCCCAGGUGGAGUGGGAAGGGCCUCUCCAGCUUCGAUAUUCGUAAGAAUCACCUGGAGAGCCUGAAAAACAUCCCUGGGCGCCCCCACCCAUCUGCAGCCCCAAGAGGUUCUGAUUCAGUAGGUGGGAGGUGGGCCCGGGAAUGUGCCUGACUCAUAAACUGUUGGGGUCGCUGGUCUGGGGCCCACAAAUUGAGUAGCACCAUUCUAGGCAGAGGCAACAGCUUAGACUGAGGGGGUGGAACAGACGUGUGGGUGGGAGAACACCAGUGGGCAGGGAGCACAGAGGCUGGAACUGGGGGAGCCUGAUGGUGGAGCUCAAAUGGGAUGGCGCUGGUCCUCGAGGGUCAGGGGCAUGUCCCAGGCCAGGACACCCGCUCCAGGACCUGCUUAUGGAAGGGGAGCCAUGAGUACGCCUGGCAAGUGCAAGACAGUAUGGGACUUGGGGGACUGGGUAGGGCCUUGGGUCAAGGGUCUUGAGCAUGGGGUUGGCGGCUGCCAUGGAGGUUUAGAGCAGGGGGGGUGUCCCCCCACCUUCAGGCGGGGCAGCCAGCUCACAAAUGUCAGUCCCACCAACAGGGAACCCAGCGGGGUGUCUGCAAGUUUCUCAAAAUCUCCAGCCUGCAGAUGCUGGCACUCAGGCUGGCAGGCGAGCUCAGCUGCAAGGGGCCCAGAUUCGGAUUGUCUUAAGGAGACAAAACUGAGACAAGCCAUAUUGAAGCCGCUCGGGAGGCCUCAGAAGGAGCCUCUGUCUCCCUGUGAUUGUUCCCGAAAGCAAGGCCCCUUCCAUCUGCGAGGCUAGGCCCCUGUCUUUGCAAAUGCCUCCCACUCCCCAUGGAGCCGGGAACGCUUAAUGCAGCUCGGCGGGGCCCUCAUAAACAGCCCUUCCCCAGCUGGUAGGAGCUGUUUUCUUUUCCCCUCUAAGAGGUUUGUUCCUGGUCAUAAAUUCUGCAGGCCCAGGCGGCCAGGCAAGGAUGAACACGUUGGUAAACACUGUAGUUAAAAACACGGCUUCUCGGCUGAGAAAGGGGCCCUGACAAUGGAGCCUUGUCCCCGGCAGCGAAUCUGAUGGCCCAUCUUCUUUGAUUCCUUAACCUUGCUGCGGGCUUGUAUGCAAUUGGCCUCAUUCUCCGGGGUCCAUCAAACGUACAUUUAAACGCCUUCAUUAGCAUCUUCCUCUGAUCCAGAACCGCUUGGCGAAUCCAACAGGCAUUGCGGAGAGGGCAGCCGCGGUUUCUCUCUGGUGAACAUCGAAAACUCCUUGACAAAGUUCCUUUUACAAUUUACUUCCUUUGUUCCAUCUUCAAGAUCUUUCGUGACCAAUGUACUCGGAGAUGACUUGGGGACAAAAAUCCCGUCUGGCCCAGACAGUAAAUCUAGCCUCCAUUCAGACGGGUUAAAUGCGUGCUUUAUGCCUAUUGUCGCAGGCUCUCCAAAGCUCUUGCGCCUUUAAGGGUUUCCUACAAUAAAUUACACCCAUCACCCUGUGGUCUGGGUUGAGGGAGGGGACUGGCAAUGGGGAGGGCUUGCGUUCACCUCGCAUGGGAUGAACAGGCUGGGACGAGGCUGCCAGGCAGUGGCACAACUGCUCUGCAUUGCCACCAAUCGCCCCGGACUUCUGGCCUCGUGCUCCUUGGGAGUCUUGUUUGCAAGAAGCCAAAAGCUCAACUCUAAGUGGAUGCGGCCAAAGUGCACUGGGAAGGGUGGCUUGCUUCGGUCGCCACUGCCCCAGGACCAGGCAGCUCUCUCCAGGAGGGGAUGUCCCUAGGCUCCCUCUGGUGGGUCACAGUGGGUCCAGUGGCAGCUGCUGGAGCCCCAGGACCCUCAAGUUCAAGUCCGUCAUGACGGAGCAAGCAUCCUUUCCCAGCAGUCCCUAGCAAGAGUCUCAUUGGCUGAGAUUGGGUCACAUGAUUGUUCCUGACCAAUCCCAGUGGUUCCCUAGCAGGUGCCUCAUUGGCUGGAAUUGGACCACCUGACUUUUUCUGAACAAUCCCUGUGUUCCUUAGCAGGAGCCUCAUUGGCAUGGGUUGGACCACAUGACCAUCCCUGACAAAUCCCAGGCCUGGGUCGUUCUAGUGGGGGAAAGCUGGGUUGUGGUGCCCAGAAGAGCCAGGAAAAGCUCUGGACAGCCGGAACAGCAGACAUUGGUUAUGGCGUCUAACCGAGGGCAUCUCCUUUGCCCCACAGGCCUGAGUCAGGGUGGCAGGGGGUGGCUCAGAGGCGGGAACCUAGGUUCCUUCCCUGCAUAUCUACCCCUGCGUCCACUGCAGAGUCUGUCUCCCCAUGGCCGCUGUGCUGCCUCCAGUUCGUGUCAACUCUGAUGGGCUCCGGACAACUCCGUAGCAUUUUCUCUGAGGCACGACUGUCGGCUGCAGGGGAAUUAGUGUUCUGCAAGUCCGGUGUUCGCUGGUCUGGAGGCCGCCACAGAUCUGAGGGCCAGGAUGGUGGCUCUGGCCAGGAUCGGAGCAUGGGCGAAAGGGUCCAUGGUUUCAGCAGAUGCUUUUGAACCCUGGGUCUCUGACCGUGGAGUGGUCCAGUAGAAAGCAUCGAAGACCAUGGCAGAGACCAAUCCCCUCAUCUUUCUUAUUGUCAAAACCAUGAUUUGGGAAAACAUUGAUCCAGCCUAAAUGUGCUGAAUACAUGACACAACAGUGGCUACUGACAUAUAAUGGGUGUUAUUGGAUGGGCCUUCUGGGGAAAUCCCUUAGCAGCUAAAUGGCCCCUUCUGUCCUUUCUUGAUUCUUCAUGCCCCAAAUGCAGAUGUGAUGGAAUUCCAUCCUCUCAUCAUUGCUCACACGUAAUGCUGUCAGACUCCCCCGCCCCCUUUUUUGGUCAGGCUGAAGGAUGCAAUGUGCCAUCCUUUUCAUCUCCUUAAUUACUUAAUUAUGGUGAGGUGUGAUGCCCACUUCAGAUUCUUUCCCUGUAUUUUGAGUCUUUGUAUCUUUUACCCAUUUUUCCAUUUAUUGAUUUGUAGAAGUUCUUUACAUAUUCUGGACAGGCAUCAUUUUGCCAAGGAUAAGCAUUGCAUACAUUUUCCCCACCUGUGGCUGACCUUCUCUUUUUUCCUAUGUUGUCUUUUGUCAUAUUCCAGGUUUUUACGUCUGCCCUAAGUAAAUGUAUUGAUCUUGUCCUAAUUGUGCUUUCUGUGUUGGUUUAACACAUCUCAUCUCAGGGUGGUAAGGAUAUUUUCCUAGGUUUUAUUUUAAAAUUGUAUGAAUUGUCUUUGUAUACUUAGGUCUCCUUUAACUGAAAUGGAUUUCUCUUUGCAGGUGUGAAGGAAGGAUCUAAUUUUGCCUGGCUUUCCUUUGUAAAGCCAAUCAUCCUAGGUCCAUGUAUUGAUUGCUUUUUCUUUUUCUAAAAUAAGUUUUAUUCUUAUAUAUCUUCCC
rnacentral:lncRNA from 1 species